UAACAGAUAUUUAAAUUAAUAAUAAUUAGUUUGCGUCUAAUAGUUGAGAUUUCUCUGUUUUU
rnacentral:tRNA from 1 species